CUUCGGGUCGUAAAGCUCCGUCCUAAGGGAAGAAUAAUGACGGUACCUUAGGUGGAAGCCCCGGCUAACUACGUGCCAGCAGCCGCGGUAAUACGUAGGGGGCGAGCGUUAUCCGGAAUCACUGGGCGUAAAGGGUGCGUAGGCGGCCAAAUAAGCCAGAGGUGAAAGGCUACGGCUCAACCGUAGUAAGCCUUUGGAACUGUAUGGCUUGAGUGCAGGAGAGGAGAGUGGAAUUCCUAGUGUAGCGGUGAAAUGCGUAGAUAUUAGGAGGGACACCAGUGGCGAAGGCGACUCUCUGGACUGCAACUGACGCUGAGGCACGAAAGCGUGGGGAGCGAACAGGAUUAGAUACCCUGGUAGUCCACGCCGUAAACGAUGAGUGCUAGGUGUCGGGGGUUCACACCCUCGGUGCCGGAGUUAGACGCAUUAAGCACUCCGCCUGCGGAGUGC
rnacentral:rRNA from 1 species